rnacentral:rRNA from 1 species
CGGGUGAGUAACGCGUGGGUAACCUACCCUGUACAGGGGGAUAACAGUCAGAAAUGACUGCUAAUACCGCAUAAGACCACAGCACCGCAUGGUGCAGGGGUAAAAACUCCGGUGGUACAGGAUGGACCCGCGUCUGAUUAGCUGGUUGGUGAGGUAACGGCUCACCAAGGCGACGAUCAGUAGCCGGCUUGAGAGAGUGAACGGCCACAUUGGGACUGAGACACGGCCCAA